rnacentral:rRNA from 1 species
GAUGAACGCUAGCUACAGGCUUAACACAUGCAAGUCGAGGGGUAACGAGAGGCAAGCUUGCUUUCCUUGUCGACGACCGGCGCACGGGUGAGUAACGCGUAUCCAACCUGCCCCCAACUAGGGAAUAACCUUGCGAAAGUAAGACUAAUACCCUAUAAUUUCCUCAGAUGUCAUCUGACGAGGAAUAAAGAUUUAUCGGUUGUGGAUGGGGAUGCGUCUGAUUAGCUUGUUGGCGGGGUAACGGCCCACCAAGGCAACGAUCAGUAGGGGUUCUGAGAGGAAGGUCGCCCACAUGGGAACUGAGACGCGGUCCAAAAUCCUACGGGAGGCAGCAGUGAGGAAUAUUGGUCAAUGGGCGGAAGCCUGAACCAGCCAAGUAGCGUGCAGGAUGACGGCCCUAUGGGUUGUAAACUGCUUUUAUACAGGAAUAAAGUUAGCCACGUGUGGUUAUUUGUAGGUACUGUAUGAAUAAGGACCGGCUAAUUCCGUGCCAGCAGCCGCCGUAA